rnacentral:rRNA from 1 species
GAUUUCUGGGCUCAAGAAUUUGGCCGGCCACGGUUUCGUGUGUUAGUGCUUUGUUCUGUGUCCAUCCUUCCAAUCGCCAUUGGCUCUUCUUCAUUGAUUGGUCAGUGGUAUUGGAUCUUUUACUUUGAAAAAAUUAGAGUGUUUCAAGCAGGCGUUUUGCUAUGAAUACAUUAGCAUGGAAUAAUGAGUUAGGACUUCGGUUCUAUUUUGUUGGUUUCUAGGACUGAAGUAAUGAUUGAUAGGGAUAGUUGGGGGUGCUAGUAUUCAGCGGCCAGAGGUGAAAUUCUUGGAUUCGCUGAAGACUAACUUAUGCGAAAGCAUU